CAGUCUCCCUAUUAAUGAUAUUCCAAGUCAUUUUAAUUUUGUCAGGUGCAUUUUUUAUAAGAUUGCCUAAGUGCAAUGACUUGGCCAAUGUACAGACUUUUUUAAACAGCUUGGAAUAUUUACAGACA
rnacentral:pre_miRNA from 1 species